rnacentral:rRNA from 1 species
UACGUAGGGUGCGAGCGUUAAUCGGAAUUACUGGGCGUAAAGCGUGCGCAGGCGGUUCGUCGUGUCCGAUGUGAAAGCCCCGGGCUCAACCUGGGAAUGGCAUUGGAAACUGGCGGACUCGAGUGUGGCAGGAGGGGGGUGGAAUUCCGUGUGUAGCAGUGAAAUGCGUAGAGAUGCGGAGGAACACCGAUGGCGAAGGCAGCCCCCUGGGCUAACACUGACGCUCAGGCACGAAAGGCGUGG